rnacentral:lncRNA from 1 species
AUACAGCCCAAUGAUGCCCCUUGAUGACAAGAGGGAAUGAGUCACCACCAGCUUCAGGGAUUUGGAAGAAAUGUCAAUGAAGUCAUGAAUAAUAUGUUGCAUUAAGUCAUCGAGUUUGUGGUGCUUUGUUAUGGGAGCCUUAGAGACCAAUAUAGACCCCAACUUCCAGUUAUAAUGGGCCACUGAGCUGUUUCCUGAAUAGCCCAGCUGUUUGCUGACCUCGGGUUUUUAACCAUGUUGCAUUGGACACAUUAUUAUAUUUAUAUUUAAUGCAAGCACAGUUAACUAUUUAGUUGGCAAAAAAUAACAUGAAUAGACUGAGGGAGGCUGAGAGCAGAGCAAAUUGAUGGCUAAGCUGCUAGGGACAGCUCUGUCUGCUUUUCCAUGCUGAAUGGUGAGUGCUGCCCUGCAGGUUGCAGGAAACAUGGCCACAACUACUCCUCCUCACCUCUUCUAUGGUCUUCCCACAGGAUGAGCAUCUCAUCACAACAUGUGUGAGUCCAAUGUGGAAGAUUUCAUGGUUUUCAUACAACUUGGCCCCUUAAAGCAAGCUCACGAAUUCAGCUGAAGCAACAACAAUUGAUUUUGGGACUACAGGACACAGUGACUGUAUUGGAUUUCUUGAGAGACAGUGUCAUUUUCCAACACAGUCUCUCAUAAGGGAUUUUCAAGGGAACUUUUGACUAUCCUCUAUUUAUGACUUUUUUUGGCUUUAUGCAUUGAUUUUAGAACACAAAUGCUGAAUAAGAUUUGAUUCCUUUGCGUUCACUUUGCUUAGAAUCCCCCAGCAUACUUUAACAUGCCACUUUUUCCAACAACUUCUCCCUUCACACCCGGAUUGGUGCUGAAUUUCUAACUUCUUCAAAAUUCCAUAGCAUUUCCCUCCAUCACUCCCAUGUAUCUUCACUUACAGGAGUUUAUACACACAUCAGCUUCCCUUGCAGAAUUUUUUGACAUUGGGGGCUACAUAUCUUUGAAUCUCCCAUAGGCCAGUGGAUCAUUGAAUGAAUGGUUGGAUGGAUGGAUGGAUUUAUUGAUGUUUAUAGAUUUCAGAGAAAAAUUAAAUGGAAUCUAAUAGCUAAAGCAAAGAGAGCUUGUCUACAUUUACACUGCCAGUGUGAGUCUUGAUGCACAAACUGGGAAUCAGAUUGCCAGGUGAUGCCACACUCUUGCAGAUAGAUGGCUUGCUUUCUCUGUGGACUUAAAAUAAGUCAAGCGUGAGGCCACUCCUCUAAAUCACUGGUACAGGGAUGCGUCUAUACUGCAACUCAGCCUAAGUGUCAGUUCCUCAGAGAACCCUUCCCUGUACCUCCGAGUCUAGAUGAGUCUCCUUCCUCUCUGUUAUAUGCUAUCAUGGAAUUCUCUUUUUUCCCUUCAUAGCAUUGUCACAUUUUGAAACUAUUUGUUUCUGUGACUUUUUGUUUACUGUCUUUUACACCCUCCAACCUCUUGGCUGACUUUAAACUCAAGAAACGUAGGAUUGAUGUCUGUUUUCUUAACCAUGGUAAUCCAGUGUCUAGCCCAGUGCCUGCCAUUGGCUGCAAUAUAUUACAGCAGUAACAUAUCACAUAUUACUGCUACUAAUGUCUAAUAUUAAUUGACUAUGUAUUAUGUGCCAGACACUGUUCAAAACUGCUUUACAUAAAUCAUCUCCUUUUAUCUUCACAAUAACUCUCUGAAGCAGGAGCGAUUAUUAUUCCCAUUUUGUAGAUGAGGAGACUGAGAUACAGGGACACUAACUGGUUCAAGGUAUCACAGCUAGGAAGUAGCACAGUGGAGACUUAAACCCAGGGAUGCCAGCCCCAAAGUCAGGAAGUGUUCACUAAUGUAUGUUGAAUAAAUGAAUGAAUCAUGAUCAAUAUUACUGUGUAUCUUCUGGACUAAUUGCCUAGCCAGUGCAAACAUGUCUUCUACAACUAUUCUAAGAGUUAGUUCUCCAGAUCGUUCUGAAAUACUUCUUGCAAUGGGAUUCAUUAGCUUUUCCAGUGAGCAACUCUAAUAACUAGGAUGAUCUUCAUUACAUAAAACUGAAAUCCACUUCUGUGGUAAUUUUACCUGUGGACACCUGUUCUGCUCUCAGUAGUUUAAAAGAACUUUAGUUCCUCUCAUAUAGCUCUGAUAAGAGUUUUCACUUAGAUGACAGCCUAUGUUCCAGCUAUAUCUCCAGAUUCUGGCCAAACCAUAGUGUACUGCUAUACCUGUUAAACUGAGGCAUCCACACCUGGAUAGAAGGCUUUCCAGGAAUGGUUUGUCCAGGGUGGAAUAGAGUAGGAGUAUUCAGCUCUGUAACCCUGGGGACUGACAUGAUGCUUGUUGAAUUGAAAUGAAAUGCUUUCAUAGUGGUAAUAAUAAUCUCUUUACUUUGUAGUUGAAAAUUACAAAAUAUGUAUGUGUGCCCGAUUUCAGUUGGUUUUUCUCUACAAUAUGUUGUUUAAUCUCUGCUGCCUUUUUGAUUUGAGGCUUCAGGAUAUUAGAGCUAUAAGCAACAUGAGAGAUGCUCUGAGGUCCAGAGAGGUUGAAUGGUUUGCUUAGAGUCAAGUUAAGUUUCCUUUUAAAACUGAUAAUUUCUGGAAACUAUGUCCUUCUUCCUAUGAUCUCCCAUGAACCUGAUGGGUUUCCUGCCCUCUGGUCCUUUUCAGUAUAUUGACUGUGGUCAAAAUAGUGUUGGCAAUGAACUUUCUAUCAUUGGAGGUGUAUGAACUGAUAAUGAGUUGGCUUUUGAGUAAGGAUGUUGUACCUACAACAACAGCUGAGACAUCUAAUGAGUAUUGGUCUAAAUGAUCUUUCAGGUAAUGUAACCUCUGGCCUUACAAAAACUAUGCCACCCAUAGACUGCAUAGGGAUCAGGUAGAGUUUUAGCCACAAAGCUUUCAAGACUUCUAUCCACCAAAUCGUUUCUGAAUAUAGCAACCUAGUUUCUCACCAUAACUGGUAGGAGCCAAGAUCAUCAUCCUUCAAUACUGAAACACUACCAAAAAUAUACAAGUUUUCAACACUGAUUCUCAAUACCUUGUGGAAACUUCCCAAGACCUUUUGUCCCAAUCCUAUUUAUUCUUCACACCUAGCUCAACUCUUGUUUACUCUGAGUAUCCUUUCUCAAUCCUCUCAAUUAGAAUGAAUCCUUCCCUCCCAUAUUUCCCCAUAGGAAAUUGUAACUCUCCUAUAAAACUUAUCAAAGUCUGCCUUAUAUUAUGCAUCUUUUCCCAUUUCAUUGAGCAAUCAGCACUGAUUUAUUUGUACAUAAUUUAUUAUCAUUAUUAACCAUGUACCAAGCCAAGUACUUUACUUGUUUUGCCUUUUUGUUUUGUCUUUACCUUAUUUAUUCUUUGCAAUGACCCUAUGUGGUAGGUGUUUACAAUAUCACCAUUUUACAUAUGAGGAAACUGAGGCUGGGAAGUUAGUCAUCUUCCUAAAAUUACAUGGUAAGUUGGUGCCAGAGCUGGGCUCACAAAUUCUUAUAGAACAGAGGCCAUGAUUCUUCUCUCUCAGUCCCUAGAAUUUUACUUUGUUUGCAAUGGGUGUUUAAUAGUUUUUUUUUCUGUUGCUUAUAGACACAGAUCCAGAACACGUGAGACCACACUUGUGGUGAAGAAAGCCUGCGGUUCCAGAGAAUCAAAGCCAGGUUGGACAUCGCUUCAAGGCUGCUGGGGAGAAAUUAUGAAGUAGAUCUAUGGGAAUACUUCCCUGUUUUGUUCUGCUGAGAAAUCUCUCUCAGUUCUGCUGGCUGCUCACUGGUUCCUGAGAUAACUAACCCGGCUUAUCCCUCCAAUAUCAGAACCGCAGUUGGUGACCAAGAGCAGAUGCUGAUGCCAGGGGAAGACAAGAGGGAGCUGGAGGAGUGAAGGCAAAAAGAUGAAUUAUUAAUAAUUUCUAAGAGUAUGAAGUGUUAGGGUACAGAAGUUGAGAAACAGCUGUUCUUUAUAGCAACCAAAGCCAGAAAAUAAGCAUUAAUGACAGCAGGAAGAUAUAAAAGAUACAGAGUUAUAUUAACUGCAGAAGAGGGUGGGAAAUAGAAUUUAUUCAUGCAGUCAUUCAACAAACAUUUAUUGAGCACCCAGUAUGCAGCAAGCACUGUGCUAGGUGCUGGGAGGGUAAAGAUCAAAGCCAAAUCCUGUGCCCCCAAGUGGCUCACAGAGCCAUGUGUCUGCUGGACUGUAAGCCCCUCCAGGGCAGGGGCGCAUGAGCCAGGCCACUACAUCCCCAGAUAUGUGCCUUCCUCCUACUAGAUGCCUAAUAUAGAUUUGUUGCAUAAACGAUUGAAUUAAGGUUGAACCAGAAGGAAAGACAAAGAUGCCAUCUGGUAAUCAUAGAUCCUUGUAUGUAGCCUGAUGCUGAUUUAUUUCUGCCUGGCAGCAGGAGGGGAGUUGACAGAGAUCUAUAUUCCCUUGAAAACUACGUGUCUUUAGUCUUCCUUGGUGUGCUGUAUUUUGGAGAAAGUUGCCUGGUCUUUGGAGAAGGUCAAAUUGCACAAGUCAGACCGGAAAGUCCACCAACCCUCCGAGUCAAGUUCUUGGCCCGAGAGUUUAUAUUUAAUUACAUAUUGUCACCAGUCAUCUGCUGUUCCAAGAACACAGAACACUCCUUCCAAAGCAGAUACCUUUUUUGGACCUCCACUUCUCAAAUCUUGUCCGUUGGAGUCAAAAGAGCUCCUGGCAGUGUAACUGACAACUGCACAUCUGCGAAUGGCACGAGUCACUCAGCUCCCAGAAAGAAGUGGAAGGCUUCUGUUUCCUUGCCUGCUCUUGGUGGAAAGAGAUGGAUGAGGCGAGGUCGUCACAAAGCCCCUUAUACACCGUUUGCAUAUGGCUGGGCGUCCACAGGGUAGAGUUGGCUCUGUCUGUGCGAAUCCCAAACUCUUUUCUGCUCAUCCAAAGCUGUGCCCGAUUCCCUUGAAGCCCACUGAAUGACGCCCACACAAAGGCCUGUCUGCUCUGAGGAGCUCCUCCCUGUUGCUUUCCUUCACAUCUCAAUAAACCCUUCUCAUCUUAUAUUUAUCAAAUGCAAUCACAAAGGGACCACUUAAUUAACAGGCUGCCAUUGUAUGGAGGAUGAUUUGGAAACUUAAAGGCAUUUGAGAAACCUCAUACUGUUCCAGACGACAAAAACAGUGGGAUGCACCAUCUGGGAGGGAGCUUCCUCCGAAACAGAUGCCAGUGUUUCCGUGAUAAAGAACCUAAUAUUAUAACAUCAUAGUAUGUUGUGCCAUUUGGUGAGGAGAGGCAGUCCUCCUCUGAGCGAAUGUUCUCAGGUUUCGCCAAAUCAUUCAGCACCAAAAUAUUUGCUCUGGCAAAGGGCGCUGGUUUAUUCUUCUCUUGGGUCUAUUUCCCCUAUGGAGCCCUUGCAGGGCUGGACACAUUGAAGGAGCUCAAAUAAAAUUUGUGGAGGAAUCUGUUGGCUGGGAGGGUGGCAUAUGGUCAGAGUGUGGUCACUACAUGCUAUGAAGGAAACAGCAGGUGAAUUCAGUUCCAAGGGCUUAUUUCAAGACUAAUGGAUUUUUGACACAUAGGCUUGAACUUUGCUUCAAAACAAAAUGCUGGACUUGGCCUUCUAUCAUUCUGCCUCUCCUAACCCUUAUCUCCAACUACUUCAUUGUUUAGUUUACUUUUAUUGAGCACCUUCCUAUGUGCCAGGCAUUGUGCUGAGCUUGGUAGGAGGAUGAAAAAAUAAAUACAAUAUAGACACUGCCUGCAAGGACUUAAAA